rnacentral:rRNA from 1 species
ACGCUCGACACCUACGGGAAGCAGCAGUGGGGAAUAUUGCACAAUGGAGGAAACUCUGAUGCAGCGAUGCCGCGUGAGGGAAGAAGGUUUUCGGAUUGUAAACCUCUGUCUUUGGGGACGAUAAUGACGGUACCCAAGAAGGAAGCUCCGGCUAACUACGUGCCAGCACGCCGGUAGUACUNGNGGCGGNGNGAGACG